GAUGGAAGAACGUAGUGAAAUGCGAUAAGUAGUGUGAAUUGCAGAAUUCAGUGAAUCAUCGAAUCUUUGAACGCACAUUGCGCCCUUUGGUAUUCCAAAGGGCAUGCCUGUUCGAGCGUCAUUUGUACCCUCAAGCUUUGCUUGGUGUUGGGCGUCUUGUCUCUAGCUUUGCUGGAGACUCGCCUUAAAGUAAUUGGCAGCCGGCCUACUGGUUUCGGAGCGCAGCACAAGUCGCACUCUCUAUCAGCAAAGGUCUAGCAUCCAUUAAGCCUUUUUUUCAACUUUUGACCUCGGAUCAGGUAGGGAUACCCGCUGAACUUAAGCAUAUCAAUAAGCGGAGGA
rnacentral:misc_RNA from 1 species